AUAUCAUUGUAAUGGAGAAGGAGGAAGCUAGCAUGGCGGCCUAUGUCUGCUAACCAAUAGCAUGAAAAAUAGGCUUUCUCUGAAACAUGCAGCAGUAUCUGCAAUCUAGAAGAUGGACAAAAAUAACAUUUCUUCACAAACUAAAAGUUUCAUUUCUUUUUUGAAACAUGCAGCCUAAAGCUCUCAAGCUACUAGGGAUGGAGGAGAUGGGAUAGUUCUCCCUUUGCUGGGUCCUCCGGCGUAAGAUCUCAUGUUCAAAGGAUGAUGAACCUCCAACCAAAGG